GUUAGUUCGGCCAGGCCCGCUCCUCACAAACACGGCGUGGCCCAGCAUGGCUGGUUUGUGGUUCCAAAAGACCACAAAUAAGCUAUUUGGUUCCAAGAAGUCAACAAAAAGCUGUGUUUUGUUUUGCUUUGCUUUUCCUUGCCAUGUUUGGAAGAAAGUUCUUCAGCCUGAGUUGGAAUCUUAGGAAGGGGAAUGGAACUGGUAAGCUUUAGGAAGAAUCAGAUUCAAAAUAAGACAUUAACUGCGAAAUCCAAAAUGGCUGCGCUUACCCUAUUGAUAAAAACAGGCUUCUAUGGCUUGCAGUUGAACGUGUCAUCUUGAUGCAGAAAUUCACUAAAAACUAGGAAGAAAUCAUAAAAGAUUGAUAAAAAGGACUUUAACCACUGGGCAUGCCAAUACUGAAUAGCAAUGAGAUUUUAGUAAAGAAGAUGGAAGCUCCGGUCUACAAAAGGGUGAGUCAAAAUGAGAAGUGUGUGUGGGAGAUUGAGUAUAUUCGAUACAGUUUAUAAGAAACUGUCCAAGCAUUCAAACACUAUUACUGCCUUUAUAGUAGUUGAGAAAUUGUUGAAAAGUUUCAUGUGUGAACCUAUGUAAUCCCGAUUUUCUGUGACUGAAACUACCUUAACUUAUUGCUGAAAUUCUGCCUCUGUCUGCCAGUGCUGAAGUGAAAUCCAGAGACAAAGUUUGGGGUAAAAGAGAAAAAGAUAGCCUUAUUGCUUUGUUAGGCAAAGGGAGCCACAGAAGGCUAAUUCCUUAAAGACUGCACUCCCCUUUGAAGGGGUUAGGAGGUGAUUUUAUAGUUUUUGGUGUAGAAGAAAGAUUAGGGCUAUAGAUAAGAAUCAGGGUAGAGGCAAGCUUGCAUUGUUUUUCAAGGUUGAUGCUUCGUGGCCACAGGACUGGUUCUGGUGGUCCUCCUUGCAGAAAUGAAUAAUGCUUCAUCAAGUAGUUCUUCCAUUUGUUGCGGGUUUUAGUUCUAUAGAAAGGUUCA